rnacentral:rRNA from 1 species
CGGUAAUUCCAGCUCCAAUAGCGUAUAUUAAAGUUGUUGCCGUUAAAAAGCUCGUAGUCGAACUUCGGCCUUUGCCGCCCGGUCCGCCCUAUGGGUGUGUACUGGAGCGGUGGAGGCUUACCUCGUGGUGAACGGCCAUGCUCUUUACUGGGUGUGGUCGGGAACCAUGAUUUUUACUUUGAAAAAAUUAGAGUGUUCAAAGCAGGCUUACGCCCGAAUACAUUAGCAUGGAAUAAUAAAAUAGGACGUGCGGUUCUAUUUUGUUGGUUUCUAGAAUCGCCGUAAUGAUUAAUAGGGAUAGUUGGGGGCAUUCGUAUUCAAUUGCUAGAGGUGAAAUUCUUGGAUUUAUUGAAGACGAACUACUGCGAAAGCAUUUGCCAAGGAUGUUUUCAUUGAUCAAGAACGAAGGUUAGGGGAUCGAAAACGAUCAGAUACCGUUGUAGUCUUAACAGUAAACGAUGCCGACUAGGGAUCGGACGAGGAUUUUUAAUGACUCGUUCGGCACCUGAAGAGAAAUCUUUAAGCCUAGGUUCGGGGGGGAGUAUGGUCGCAAGGCUGAAACUUAAAGGAAUUGACGGAAGGGCACCACCAGGUGUGGAGCCUGCGGCUUAAUUUGACUCAACACGGGGAAACUCACCAGGUCCAGACACGACAAGGAUUGACAGAUUGAUAGCUCUUUCUUGAUUUCGUGGUUGGUGGUGCAUGGCCGUUCUUAGUUGGUGGAGUGAUUUGUCUGGUUAAUUCCGAUAACGAACGAGACCUUAACCUGCUAAAUAGCCCGGCCGACUUUGGUUGGUCGCUGGCUUCUUAGAGGGACUAUCAGCGUUUAGCUGAUGGAAGUUUGAGGCAAUAACAGGUCUGUGAUGCCCUUAGAUGUUCUGGGCCGCACGCGCGCUACACUGACCGAACCAGCGAGUUUAUCACCUUGGCCGGAAGGCCUGGGUAAUCUUGUGAAACUCGGUCGUGAUGGGGAUAGAGCAUUGCAAUUAUUGCUCUUCAACGAGGAAUACCUAGUAAGCGUGAGUCAUCAGCUCGCGUUGAAUUCGUCCCUGCCCUUUGUACACACCGCCCGUCGCUACUACCGAUUGAAUGGCUUAGUGAGGUCUCCGGAUUGGCUUCUGGGAGCCGGCAACGGCACCUAGUCGCUGAGAAGUUGAACGAACUUGGUCAUUUAGAGGAAGUAAAAGUCGUAACAAGGUAGCCG